GUGGGGAAUAUUGGACAAUGGGCGAAAGCCUGAUCCAGCCAUGCCGCGUGUGUGAAGAAGGUCUUCGGAUUGUAAAGCACUUUAAGUUGGGAGGAAGGGCAGUAAGUUAAUACCUUGCUGUUUUGACGUUACCGACAGAAUAAGCACCGGCUAACUUCGUGCCAGCAGCCGCGGUAAUACGAAGGGUGCAAGCGUUAAUCGGAAUUACUGGGCGUAAAGCGCGCGUAGGUGGUUCAGCAAGUUGAAGGUGAAAUCCCCGGGCUCAACCUGGGAACUGCCUCCAAAACUACUGAGCUAGAGUACGGUAGAGGGUAGUGGAAUUUCCUGUGUAGCGGUGAAAUGCGUAGAUAUAGGAAGGAACACCAGUGGCGAAGGCGACUACCUGGACUGAUACUGACACUGAGGUGCGAAAGCGUGGGGAGCAAACAGGAUUAGAAACCCUAGUAGUC
rnacentral:rRNA from 1 species